ACCAGGAGUGGUGGUGCACACCUGUAACCCCUGCAGCUCAGGAGGCUGAGACAGGAGGAUUGCAAGUUCAAAGCCAGCCUCAGCAACUUAGCAAGACCCUGUCUCAA
rnacentral:sRNA from 1 species